AUUGAACGCUGGCGGCAUGCCUUACACAUGCAAGUCGAACGGCAGCACGGGAGCAAUCCUGGUGGCGAGUGGCGAACGGGUGAGUAAUAUAUCGGAACGUGCCCAGUCGUGGGGGAUAACGUAGCGAAAGCUACGCUAAUACCGCAUACGAUCUAUGGAUGAAAGCGGGGGAUCGCAAGACCUCGCGCGAUUGGAGCGGCCGAUAUCAGAUUAGGUAGUUGGUGAGGUAAAGGCUCGCCAAGCCGACGAUCUGUAGCUGGUCUGAGAGGACGACCAGCCACACUGGGACUGAGACACGGCCCAGACUCCUACGGGAGGCAGCAGUGGGGAAUUUUUGGGACAAAUGGGCGCAAGCCUGAUCCAGCAAUGCCGCGUGCAGGAUGAAGGCCUUCGGUU
rnacentral:rRNA from 1 species